UACGGGGGGAGCAAGCGUUGUUCGGAUUUACUGGGCGUAAAGGGCGCGUAGGCGGCCACCGCAAGUCGGUUGUGAAAUCUCAGGGCUCAACCCUGAAACUGCAUUCGAUACUGCCUUGCUCGAGGACUGGAGAGGAGAUUGGAAUUCACGGUGUAGCAGUGAAAUGCGUAGAUAUCGUGAGGAAGACCAGUGGCGAAGGCGGAUCUCUGGACAGUUCCUGACACUGAGGCACGAAGGCCAGGGGAGCAAACGGG
rnacentral:rRNA from 1 species